AUACGGAGGGUGCAAGCGUUGUCCGGAUUUAUUGGGUUUAAAGGGUGCGUAGGUGGUUUUUUAAGUCAGUGGUGAAAACCUACAGCUUAACUGUAGAGGUGCCAUUGAAACUGGGAGACUUGAGUAUGGACGAGGUAGGCGGAAUUUGUGGUGUAGCGGUGAAAUGCAUAGAUACCACAAAGAACACCGAUAGCGAAGGCAGCUUACUAGGCCAUAACUGACACUGAGGCACGAAAGCGUGGGGAGCGAACAGGAUUAGAAACCCCAGUAGUCC
rnacentral:rRNA from 1 species